UCCACUGGCUUCUGUUUUCUGGACACAGGGAACAUAAAAGCAGGAGGCAGACCCUGUUUCUGCCUCCUGCCUCGUCCCUGGAAUUGUUUACCUGAGAUUGUCUUCAUGUGCCUGACCGGUUACUGUGCCCUGACUCAUGAUUCUCCUCUGACCCUCGGAUAAGUUUAUGUCCUUCUGCCUCCCUGGUUCUGAACCUGCCUUGGCCUUUGACCUCUGAAUUCUGAUUCUUUUUUUUUUUCCCCUGGGUUUACAACCUGCUACCCAACCACUGUGCUACCAGUGUUCACGCCCUGGAUCAGUCUCCAUCUUGCAAAGGUGUUCUGCUCUCUACAACCAACACCCCAGAGACGACUUCUCACCCCUGCCUUCUAACCAUCACUUUGCUGAGGAACCCCGAAUCUAGCUUACCUUUUAGGAAGUAAUUUCACAAGUUUUAUGCUAGCCAGAAUCAGAUGGGAUUUUAAGAUUGAGGUUAACACUCAAAUGAGUCGAAGUUUCAGUAAUCUAACUGAUUGAAAGUGAAAUGUAAAAAGUUUGAGGUUGUCCACACUAAACUACUUUUAGUUGUGGUUAAAAUUGCAACUGUACAUUGUGAAGUAAAGUCCAGCAUAUUUCCAGAGUAUAUAUAUAAUGGAUGUAUUGUAUGUAAGCAUAUAUAUGUAUUUGCUUUUCACAGGGUAUGGAAGUAAGGCAGAUGUCCUUUAAAGUCGAACAAAUUAUGACUGUUACCAGAAUCCCCAGAGCUGAUGCCUCGACGGAUGUAGUUUUCUUUAUCUUGACCUUUCAAAAUAAAGAUGUGGCUUUUUCAGAUUGGCUUUUUAUAGUUUCUCUGCUAAAAUUACCUCAGGGAACAUAAAUGAAGACAUGACUUAAACUUUAAUUCCUGUUUUAUUCUUAUAAUUUCUUGUCUUAAACACCAUUUCAAGGGAAGUAUUUCAUUUUCAAGUCAGUUGUACAGAGGUGUUUCCCUGCAGGAUGAUCUGUCAAACUUUUUAAAUGCAAGAUACUAAGUUUUUUGUUCUAUGUUUUUGUCCACUGCAGCUUUUCAGUGAACAUCGGGAUAGACGAAAACAGCCUCAAUCCCCGUUUUAAAUGGGAAGGAUGGCAACUGGUCUGAAGUGGAAACAGGAGUGCUUCCCUUUCUGCCAAGGAGAGGAGUUCAAGAUCAUUCAGUUCACAGAGGCAGGGUUUGUGACGAAUCUAUGUGGCGGCUCUAGAUUCGACUUCCCCAACCGCCUGGGUGUGAAAAAGUAUACUUUCUUCAGCUUCACUGAGGAUGUUCGCAUUAUAAGAGUUGAGGUCAAAUAAACCAUAAAUCACUGAAGAAAUGCUGACUGCAUUUUGUUUUCCUUUUAUCUGUAGUACAUAUAUUGCCAACGGUUUUCUGUAGCUGCUGCUGGACUGUAAUGCUUAUAGCUUGGUAAUAUUAAAAUGUUGAAUUUCUUUGCAGCAGAUUUAUGUAAAGACACUAUCAAUCUUUCAAAUAUGGCCUCAGAAAAAUGUCAACGACACUGCUGCUCUAAAAAAAGAAGAGCGGUUUUGUGUUUUGGUCAGUUUCAAAAACUCAGUAAAAACAUGUAAACAUAUAAUAUAUGAAGUGCUCUCUCUGUAAAUAUGAAUUUGCAUUGUUUUUGUACUUAAAACCCAUGACCAAAUCUUUUCCUUACAUGUACUUUACAUUAAUCAAUAUAAUGACAAUAAAGCAAACUUUUUGUCCAGGAU